rnacentral:rRNA from 1 species
AGAGUUUGAUCAUGGCUCAGAUUGAACGCUGGCGGCAGGCCUAACACAUGCAAGUCGAGCGGUAACACAGGGAGCUUGCUCCUGGGUGACGAGCGGCGGACGGGUGAGUAAUGUAUGGGGAUCUGCCCGAUAGAGGGGGAUAACUACUGGAAACGGUAGCUAAUACCGCAUAAUCUCUCAGGAGCAAAGCAGGGGAACUUCGGUCCUUGCGCUAUCGGAUGUGCCCAGAUGGGAUUAGCUAGUAGGUGGGGUAACGGCUCACCUAGGCGACGAUCCCUAGCUGGUCUGAGAGGAUGACCAGCCACACUGGAACUGAGACACGGUCCAGACUCCUACGGGAGGCAGCAGUGGGGAAUAUUGCACAAUGGGCGCAAGCCUGAUGCAGCCAUGCCGCGUGUAUGAAGAAGGCCUUCGGGUUGUAAAGUACUUUCAGCGAGGAGGAGGGCAUUAAGGUUAAUAACCUUGGUGAUUGACGUUACUCGCAGAAGAAGCACCGGCUAACUCCGUGCCAGCCGCCGCGGUAAUAC